rnacentral:rRNA from 1 species
CGGACUUCGCGAGGGGUUACAAUGAUUGUCCCAGCGCCCCGCAAGGGGAGCGGCAGACGGGUGAGUAACGCGUGGGAAAGUACCCUUUUCUACGGAAUAACGCAUGGAAACGUGUGCUAAUACCGUAUACGCCCUUUGGGGGAAAGAUUUAUCGGAGAAGGAUCGGCCCGCGUUGGAUUAGCUAGUUGGUGGGGUAAAGGCCUACCAAGGCGACGAUCCAUAGCUGGUCUGAGAGGAUGGUCAGCCACAUUGGGACUGAGAUACGGCCCAAACUCCUACGGGAGGCAGCAGUGGGGAAUAUUGGACAAUGGGCGCAAGCCUGAUCCAGUCAUGCCGCGUGAGUAAUGAAGGCCUUAGGGUUGUAAAGCUCUUUCGCCGGUGAAGAUAGUGACGGUAACCGGAGAAGAAGCCCCGGCUAACUUCGUGCCAGCAGCCGCGGUAAUA